AAGAAACCCAGGGACACAGCCCCCACGCCGCAGCCGAAGGCUGGCUCUGCUGGCUGGUGUUCCCCGCUGUCCGAGGCAGCCUGGGGAAGCCCUCAUGCCCACCUAGGGCAGAUGCAGGGCAAUUCAGGCCCAAGGAAGUCUGGCACGUCUCAGCAGGAGGCAGAAGUUCAUUAACAGGGGGGCUCAUCAGGCUGGGAUGCCUGCUGGGAAGGAGAUGGAAACAGUAAAUGCAUCUCAUCAUCCAAAGCAAGAAGGAAAUGAAACAUUUUGGAAGUCAUUGAAAGGCAGAUUUUAUGUUAAUUUGAAAUAAAAUGUUUGGUUAACCAAUUGCUCUCUGAGCGACUUCUGUGACUUUUUUAAAAACAUUGAAAUAGAGUUGAUUUACAGUAGUAUAUUAAUUUCAGGUGUAGAACAUAGUGAUUCAGUAUUUUUGUAGAUUAUGUUCCAUUAAAAGUUAUUACAAGAUAAUGGUUAUAGUUCCCUGUGCUGUAGAAUGUAUCAUUGUUGCCUAUCUUACACAUAUUAGCUUGUAGCUCUUAAGCCCACAUCCCUAGUCUUCCCCUCCCCCUUUCCUCUCUCCUUUAGUAACCGUGAGUUUGUUUUCUGUAUGUAUGAAUCUGUUUCUGUUUGUAUAUAUAUAUUCAUUUGUAUUAUUUUUCAUUUUUUUAAAGUUUAUUUUAUUUUUUGCUUUGCAGGGCCACACCCGUGCGUUAUGGAGGUUCCAGGUUAGGGGUCUACGAGAAGCCAUAGCUACCGGCUUACGCCACAGCCACAGCAACACAAGAUCCAAGCCAUGCCUGUGACCCACACCACAACUCUUGGCAAUGCCGGAUCCUUAACUUGCUGAGAGAGGCCAGGGAUCGAAACCACAACCUCACGCAUGGCUCCUAGUCAGAUUUGUUUCUGCUGCGCCACAAGGGGAACUCCACUUGUAUUAUUUUUUCAUUUUCCACAUAUAAGUGGUAUCAUACAAUGCUUGUCUUUCUCUUAUUUCACAAAGUGCAACAUUCUCUAGAUCCAUCCAUGAUCCUGCAAAUGGCAUUAUUUCAGUCUUUUUAAUGGCUGAGUAAUAUUCCACUGUGUGUGUGUAUACCACAUUUUCUUAAUCCAGUGCCUGUUGAUGGGCACUUGGGUUGCUUCUGUGUCUUAGCUACUGUACUGCUACGAACACUGAGGUGUGUGUAUCUUUUGGAAUUACUGGUUUUUUUUUUUCCAGGUAUAUAUCCAGGAGUGGAAUUGCUGGAUCAUAUGGUAGUUCUAUUUUUAGCAUUUGUUCUUUUCUGACUGAUUUAUUUCACUAAACCUAAAUAUUUUCUAGGUCCAUCCACCUGGCUGCAACUGGCAGAAUUUCAUUUUUUUUUUUUAUGACUUCUGGAUUUUCUAUGUUCAAGAUAGAUAUCAACUUGCCAUUCACUGAAAGGGCUAGGAGCUCAGGCUUAUUCCAACUAGGUGAGGUCUGAGUCAUCUCAUUGAUGACUUGAUUUCUCAGCAGGUUCUCUGCAUGCUGAGUUAAACCUCUCAAAAUCCUCGUGUCAGACACUUUCUCCAAGGACCAGCUUACCUCCUAUGCACACAGAGCAGAGGGUCCUAUGUUACAGGCUGGAGUAGCCACCCAGAAACUGCGAUGAACUCUCUUGGGGAGGGAGAGAGAUUCAAUAUUGCUUAUUAAACACCUGGAUUAAAACUAAAAAUGGUUAGGAUGUUAUCUACAUUUUUUCACUCCCAUUCUUUCAUGAUUGUACAAGAGAGUUUUCUAGAGGCUCUUGAUAUGUAACAUUACAGUAGUCUGAAUAUAGAACAUAUGUGACAAUGUCAGACAUUAAAGAGAUCUGCAAAAAUGCAAAACACUGUCCCUUUUCUAAAUGUUUUUUAUUUUUAAAAAGUUAUUUUUCAUAAAAACAUGUUUUUAAGUUCGUGUGUGAUGAACUAAUUGAUACAUAUUUCUGGUUAUUCUUUUUAAAAUUGUAGUAUAGUUGCUUUACAAUCUUUCCUUGCUAAUUAAUAAUUUUUUCUAAGGACAUAAAUAUUGUAAUGAGAAAUUUAAAUGAAAAGUACAUUUCAUUUUUAAUGUGGAAAUAUUGAUAGAAUCCACAUAAACAAAAUCUCUUUGCGUUUUUGGUAAUUUUUAAGACUGUAAAGAGAUCAUAAGACCAAAAUGAUUGCAAACUGAGUGAGUCAUGUGUUUACCCUUUCUGUGCCUUCUCUCUAAUCUUCAGAACAGACCUGCAAGAUAAAGCCUUUGAUCUCCAGGUUACAGAAGACACAAAAGACAUGCAGAGAAAACAGACACCUCUACGGGACAUGUGAUUGGACAUGCCCGCUUUCUCUAUUCUGUCCACUUUUCUACAGUAUCUCUUGACAUCCACUGCGGCAAAAGCAAGUUUUAAGUAAGAGAAAGAAAGCCACAACAAUUAGUGAUUUUGCAAGAAGCAAACUCCACUCUCUAAAGCUUUCUGAAAAACAUGCUCUGUGUUACUUUGCCUCAAGAGAAAUAAACGAAUUUAGUCCAAAAUGACCUUUCUCCAUUCCUAGCUUAGCCCUAGGCCCUUGCUGGGUCUGCCACAUCUGCACAGUGCCCUCUGCUGGCCCCCCUAUACUCCAGCACAGCCUGGUGGGGUCUGAUGCUCAGUAGACUAGGCUCCCCUUCUAGGGUAGAGCCCACAGGGACCACUGGUAUCUUACAAGGUUUGGAAAUUCCUCCAGUUGCACUCAGUCUUUCAUAUGAAUAUGAGAGGCUGCCUUCACCAGUGACAACUCUCUUGGGACCACUCCUAGUUGCAGGUCCAUUUUUUCUGCCUGUUUUCCACAUUCAGAGCUCAGAACACAAAGAACCACCUUUUCCACUCUUGUGACUUGAGGAGGAAGCCUGGCAUGUUAUUUAACCUUUCUGAGCCCCACUCUUCUCAUCUUAAAAAUGGAAAUGUUAAUAUUUCCCUCGAGAGUUACUGUGAGCCUGAAGUGGGACAAUGCAGAAACACGUGGCACAGGGCUGAACAGUGCUGGUUCCUGCUUCCCACUUCUGCUCUGGGCUGACACUGAAGGUGACCCUGAACUGCUGGAAAUGUCACCACACCCUGGUCUCCUUCCGGUCUUCCGUCAUGGAUUCGGCUCCCACCAGGGGCAGGAGUUUGUGCAGCUCUCAGGAUAUAAAGUCAAAAUAAGGGAGUCAAGGUUCCCUUGUCCCUUCUCUGAGUGACCGCUCUGCAGGAUACCUCAGUGAGCAUCAGGGCCAGCGCACAAUCAGAGGCUUUCCCGCGCUGUCUUCUGAAGGGCUUGUGCUGCAGCUGAUACAUGUGUUACUUCCUGCAGGAGUUUCCAAACCUCUUUACCAAGAAGGCUUCCUCCCAUGAAAAGGCUGUUGUUUGCUCAUGGGAGGAACAACUCCUGUUCUGCAGGCCCUGCUGGGGUGGAGAAGAAAAGCCUGCACAGCUGCACAUUUUCUCGGAAGGAGUUGCAGGCGGCGGCACAGGCCAAGCUCUGGAGGCAGGUGGAGCCCAGCUGCAAAGCCUCCCAGCUCUGACCCCUCCGGGCGGCUUCAGCUUUCUAAGCAUCAGUGUCCUUCUUUGUAUAAUGAAAUUAAUUUCCACCUUCCAGGACACCUGUAAGGACUGCAGAUAAUGUUAAUGAAACGCCUAACACAGAACCUGGUAUAGAGUAGCCGUUUGGUCAAUGUUAGUUUCCUCUUCCACGUUACUUGCUCAUGCCUGUAUCUGCAGCAGACACAGGGCAAGAGUGCAUGGGAUGAGGAAGGGCUCUGUCCACUCUGAAGAGCCGUCUGGGCCCACUCUGUUCAGAUAGUCCACCCUGGAUGUGUUCUUCAACUCCAGAAUUUAUGAAGAUAACAAGGAAUACUGUAAAGAUGGUUGAACCUCCAAGUGCACUGUUCAGAGGCUGCUGUGUGAUGACCCCUACUGGAUUCUGGCAUCAAACUCCUGCUUGUCCUCACUUAGGACCUGGGGGGAUGCCCCCUCGUGGCAGAAGCAUGUCCCGGGACCCUCUUGUAUCUUGUUUUCCUUCAUUGCCUCUGCUGAAACGUCCAUUUCCUGCUUCUGAGCUGGUAAUGCUGACUUCUUUCUUAGCCUUUGCUUACACAGUUGCUGAAAGGGUCAUUUUAAAGUCCUGCAUCUUCACUGAAUUGAUGUUUGCAAAAGCCUUUGCUUCCCUAUCCAGUGCUCUGCAAACACUCGAUGUGGCUUCUCAGUCUGGAAGGAUACGGACACCAUCUGGCUGAAGCAUGACACUUCCUGAGAGGCAGUGUUUAAGUAAUUCCUGGAAAGCAGCAGCUCAUUGGUUUGAGUGUUAAUCACUCCAUAUCCAAUUUUCUGUGGCUUCAUCACAGUCUGUAUGACUUUGAGCUCAAGGUUAAGAAAGAAUGAAACGUGAUACAGCAAUUUGCCCUUGAUAAUGUCUAUCAUCAAGACAGAUGUGUCCUGAGCUCUGGCUACGUGCAGAGGACUGUGCUAGUAAGCUGGAUGAAGAGUGGACCGCCUUAAGCCAUAUAACUUGUCCAUGUUUAAAAGCAGAAGUGGGCUCUGUGCAAUCCAGUUUUUGGCUCCCAGUCUCAGCUACGUUUCAAGACAGGACACAGCCCUGGGAUGCACUACGGUUGGCUGAGGCUGUUAAAAGGACUCUGGAACAUUCCCCCACAGGGCUUCUUCAGUGCCUGUGGGUACCUGACUGGAGAUCCCGUUUGUAGCAAGGAGUCGGGGGCACCCCCUCUGACCCCAUCUUGAUGCUCCUUCUGGUUCUCAGUGAGAGCUGGGGAGUCUUCCUGGUAGAAACCCAGCUGUCAGCAGGUUUGUUUUGUUUGCAAUUAACUUCAGACUGUUUGUCGUCCUUUAGCUGUGUCGUGCUACAGGGCUGUAGCUUGCACCACUGUCCUAAAUCCCUUGCAGAUAUAGAUAUGCAUUUUUUUUAAACUAUAGAGAUGCAGCGUCAAUGCAGUGCUCCCAGUGUCAAUUUAGUCUAUGGGCACAAAAGCACCACAGUGAGCUUGCUGUCUUGCAAGAAACACCUUCUGAAACGAGCCUCUUCUGAGAGCUCCGUCUCCAGAGUUUAGCGCAAGUUUCCAGCAUGCCUCCUAUAAAGGCAGAAUAAAAUGCGUAUUUCCCAAUCCUGUCCUGCCAAAGAUCUCAAAAAUACACUGUGAAUAUUUUACACUAACGGUAAAGAAGAGAAACUAAUAUAACAAACCUCAGCCCUCUACCACCCAGCUUUGUCCCAUGUCACCAUUUUGCUAUAUUGUUCCCAAAUUAUUUUUCUUAAGAAGAAAAUAACAGAUAUGAUUGAGGAUUCCUAGGGGGGAGGGGCUCCACAAACUCAUUCCUCUCUCUCUUCACUCUCUUGAAUUUUAAUGUUUAUCAUCUGCAAUAUUUUUAAACAUUGACUACAUAUGCGUGAAUCCAUUAACAAGAUUUAGUACUGUUCUGAGCUAUUUUAGCAAUAUAAAAAUGACAUACUACUGCACUGAUCCUUCUGUAAAUUGCUUUCUUCACUCAAUAAUGCUAUUUUUGAGAUUUUAAAAGACUGAUACACGUAAGACUAGUUCAUUCACUCUGAGUUGUAGGAACAGAUGCUUUCCUUGUUUUUUUUUUCCUGUGGUUUGUGAACACUUGGUUAUUCUCCAUAUUUUUUCUAUAAAAACAUACCACAGUGAACUGUCUUAUCUACAUCCACCCUGCAAUUUGAGAAAAUGCCUCAAGAGUAGAAUCGGUGGGUUAUAGAAUUUUACUAGAUCCUGCCAGAUUGUUCUCUAAAGUGGUCCUGUCAAUGGAGACAGCCAAUACCAGUGACAACGUUUCCAUUUUUUUUCAUGUCCAUUCAUCCUCUAGAUGGGAAAAAUUUCAAAUUUAAAGAAAAGUUGCCAAAAUGACACAAUGAACACAUGUACAUACUUCCUUUCAACAGUUACUGACAUUCUGCUAUAUCUGCUUUCCCCUUCUCUUCAAAAUUUCUUGGUCUUUUAUUUUCCACAUAUACAUAUAUUGAAAUAGAUGUAAAUAUACAUAAAUUUAUAUAAUAAAUAUUAAUAAAAAUUAAAUAUGUAUAUAUGUAUAUAUCCUAGAACAAGGACAUUUUCCUACAUAACACAAUGCAAUCAUUACACUCAGGAAAUUAAAUGUUGAAAAAAUUCUAUUACCUAUUGUAUACCAGAUUCAAAUUUCCCCACUGAGGUAAUAAUCCUCUUUAUAAUUUUUCCACCAGCCCAGAAUCUAAUCAGGGAUUGAAUAUUACACUUAAUUGUCAUGUAUCUUUAGUCUCCUUUAAUUCCCUUUAGCCUAGAAAAAUACCCCAGCUUUAAAAAAACAUUCCAUGACAUUGACAUUUUUUUCUCCUUGCCAAUCUUGAUAAUGUCAGACUUUUUAAUCUUUGCCAAAUUGAUGAGGGUGAAAUAUCCCAUCAUGACUUUAAUUUGAUUUUCCUUGAUUCCUAGUGCUGUUGAGAAAUUGUUAUAUGCAUAUUGGCAAUUCAAAUAUCAAAAAGAUCUUCUCUUUAAUAUCUUUACCUGUUUUAGUACUAUGGAGCCUAUCACUGAUAGAUGUACAGAAGUUCUAGAUAUUCUGGAAAUUAAAUGAUUGUCAGUUAAAGGGAAUGUUAGCUAUGAUGCUUGGUUAGGUUGUUGAACAGAGGUUUUUGAUUUUAAUACUCAAAUAUAUCAAUGUUUCUCUUCAUGAUUUGUGAUUCUGUAAGGAGUCCUUUUCCAUCCCAGUUCAUAAAACAUUCUAAUAAAGAUAAUUAUAGAUCUUUCAGUC
rnacentral:lncRNA from 1 species